UACGAAGGGAUCUAGCGUUGCUCGGAUUUACUGGGCGUAAAGCGCGUGUAGGCGGUUUAGUUAGUUAGGCGUGAAAUCCCCGGGCUUAACCCGGGAAUUGCGCUUAAUACUGCUAGACUAGAGUAUGGUAGAGGGUGGUGGAAUUCCCAGUGUAGAGGUGAAAUUCGUAGAUAUUGGGAGGAACACCGAUGGCGAAAGCAGCCACCUGGGCCAUUACUGACGCUCAGACGCGAAAGCGUGGGGAUCAAACAGG
rnacentral:rRNA from 1 species